AGCAGUUCUCCCCAUUUCCGGCUACAAACUUCUCUUCAGCAACUGCUGGAGUCUGUUAAGACCUCUGCCCUCCAGCAGAAGAGCGUGUGAACAAACCACUAAGGCGUCCCAUCAGGAAAAGGUGACCCCUGUGGAAGGGUUGUUCUCCCCCAUUCCCCAAGGGAUCUUGACCAACAGAUUGAGAACUGCCAUUCUAGGCACCCGGAACAGCAAAAGCAAAGGGUUUUGGGAAGCUACUACCCUGUCUGAGCGCACAGGCUAAUUCUACCCAUUCAGAGAUGGUCUUCCCUUGGUUCGAUCCUCUGGAAACGCCAUCACAGAGACACAGCACUCUGAGGACUGUGGCUUCUAGGUUAUUCCUAAAUCCAGCCAAGUUGACAGUGAAGAUUAAUCAUUGCACCAACAACACCACUGCUAAGUAUAUAUCCACAGGAGCUGAAGUCAGACUGCCAAAGGUGUGACACCAUUCACAACAGGAAGGUCAGGAAUCGGCAUAGGAAUCUGAUUAUCGACGGAUGAAUGAAUAAAGACAAUGUGGGAGAAACAGACGAUGGAGUUUUGUUUGCUCUCCCUCUCUCUCUCUCUCACACACACACAAGAAAUCCUUCUAUUUGUAGCAAAAUGGAAAAACUGUAGAGGACAUUAUAUUAAGUGUAACAAACCAGACACAGAAAGACAAGCACAGAGUGUUUUUUUUCCCCCUCAAACAAAAAUUGACCUGAAGGGUGAUUAUUAGGGAUUAGAAAAGUAUAUAUAUGGCAGGGAGGGUAGAGAAUAGGAGGUGGGAUUUGAUCAGUGUACACUGAACACAUAUGUGGAAAUAGCACAGCUAUCCUAUUAAUAGUUACAAUUAAUGUGAUUCAAUAAAAAUGGAGAGUCUAACUUGAAAUUAUGACCCAGAGGUUGCUUCUCAGUUCGCUGGUGCCAGGUAACUCUUAUCCUUUGAUUCAGGGCAGAGUGGGAAGAGGCUGAUGGCUGCAUUUUCCCUCUGGAGCUUGUUAUUUUUCCUCUCAACAGACGGAUUAUUUGUAAACAAAAAUUAAAGAUAAAAAUCAAUUCCCAUCAUCUUAAAAAAAUGUGGUGAGCAUGUCCCCAGAGUUAUGAGAGCUGCAGAGUAAGUCAUUUGCACAGUGCUGUUGGAAGGCAGAGCCCAAUUCCCCACAGGUCGGGGUCCAGCGAGCUGAUGCUUCAGUGCCCAUAGACGGACGUUCUGCUGCAGAAACUGAGGCAACAUGAUGGAUCUUUAGAAAGCAUAGCAACGUACUUCAGUGUAGCUUAUUAAUACAUGAGAACACCUGAUGGGAGGGCUGCUGUCCUCAGUGGUUUCGACGUGUUAAUUAACAAACUUUCUUCUAGAAUUAGGUACUGCUAUUGUUAUUGUUCAAUUUCUCAAAAGGAAGAAAUAGAGGCAUGGAAUUGUUAAGCCAGGAUGCAUACAUGGGCAGUUGAAUUCGAGCACAGGUUAUUGUGGUGGCUUAAUGUUACUGGUCAGUUUAUAGAAGUGGCCAUUGUGGUACCAGCAAAUAUCACAUCCCCACUGAUGAACCAGGGCAUUAGGGAUUAAGUAAGGUAAGAGGCAAAAAUAUCCAGAUACCAGAUAAUCAGGAAAAGGGAGAAAAUCCAGGUCUGCAUUUAUUUUAGUCGUGGCUACCUGGAUUGUUCUUGUGAAGUUUUAAAUGUUGUUUUACUCUAAAUAUGAAAAUCUGAGAAUGAAAUCUAUUCUUUUUAUGCUAAUUAGAAUUUAAUAAAAGAGGGAAAGGUGUUGUUUUGAAAAGAGACUUCAGUGAUGAUGACAUUCCUGAAGUUACUUAUCUUGGUGAUACUGAAAGACCUGGAUAAACCCAGACCCCUCUAACAGGAAGAAAAGAGCCAAAAAUCUAGGUUCGGUUCAGUGACUCUUUCAGGAACUAUCUGAAGACAAAGUUAGAUUGUAAUCUUGAGAAUAAUCUUGAGAAUCAGGGAGUUACCCCCUUGUGAUUAUCACUGGUAUUUUCGGAAUUUUCAAUGACUUGGAUUACUGGUUGUGGUUUCUUCUCUUAAAUACCACUUCUCCCCGUACUUGGGGUCGAACUCUUCCCCUGCGUGGGUUAUGAGUUUUGGCCCCAGUGCACUGGUACCUGUCAAUAAACCUCGAGUGAU